GCGAAACGGCAGCUAAAGCUUUGCUAUGACUGGAGCUGAGGCUGGCUGUAGUUAAUUAGAGUCUGCGGUGAUUAAAGUCUGAAUGGAAGAUAAUAAAGUUGUAUUAAACACGUUUGUUUUGUUAUGUUUCAUCGUGCUGAAGGCGGAGCAGCUGUCCGGGGACGGAGGAGGCUGGUCUGAUUCAGAGUUCAGACUGGAGGAUGAAGGUCGUUGUAACAUCGAUGUGUGGGACAGCUCUUCGCUCUCCCAUCAGCAGUUCAUUGAAAGAUACGCGUACAGCCGACCGGUGAUCCUCAGAGGCCUCACUGAUAACACGAAGUUCAGGUCGUUGUGCUCCAGGUGGAGUUUACUAGAAGAGUACGGGGACCGGAGAGUGCGGCUCAGUACUGCUAACACUUACUCUUACAGGAAAGUGGACGUCCCCUUUCAGGAGUAUGUGGACAUUUUACUGAGGCCUCAGUCUGCGGACGCUCUCGGCAGCGACACGCUGUAUUUCUUCGGAGACAACAACUUCACCGAGUGGCAGAGUUUGUUCGAGCACUACAAGUCUCCGCCGUACUUCCUGCCUCACACCACCGGAGCGUUCAGCUUCGGGAUCGCAGAUGUGGUGUUUGGUCUGCAGGUCCAGGAACAGGAGUCCCGUUUCACUGGCACGGUCCCGGUUACUCCGAGGUCAUCUAUGGAAGAAAGCGCUGGUUCCUCUACCCGCCCGAUCAGGAGCCUCAUUUCCACCCGAACCGGACCACGUUGUCCUGGGUGACCGAGAUCUACCCCAACCUGCCCGAGGACGAGGCCCCGCUGGAGUGCACCAUCAGACCUGGAGAGGUUCUGUAUUUCCCCGACCGCUGGUGGCACGCCACUCUCAACCUGGACACCAGCGUCUUCAUCUCCACCUUCCUCGGCUGAGCUUCUUCUUCAGCUCUGCAGUAUUUCCUGUGUUUGAUGUUUCAGAGCGAUGAACUGUCGAGUGUUGGGAUCAUAUUUCAGUCUGAAGCAGAGGCGGAUCUAAAGAUUAUAAGAAAAUGUAAAUUAACUCAUAUCAUUUACUGAUUUUUUUAGACUGAAGUGAGAUGUGUUUCACCUUUAUAGAUAUAUUUCUAUUCAAAGCUUCACUAAUGUGCCACAAUCAUCAAGUUAAAAUAUCUUUUCCAAGCAAAUAUUGGUUUAUGUGAUCGAUUGUGGAUGAAUAUUUCCUCCACAUUUACAUUCCAGGUGAAUCUUUUAAACAAAGAUUGUAUUUAAUGACCAAAAGGAGCUAAAAGUGACAACGUAAUGUCGGGAUCAAUAUGUGUGAGUGAUGAGUUAUUGAUCUGUGUCAUCGUAUUAUUUUUAUCAGCCGGUUGAACUUGAAGCAAGAAAGCAGAACACGUCUGUUCCAGCCACUGUUGUUGUUUCAGGAAUAAAAAUUAUUAUUUAAA